ACUGUCUUUGCAUGAGCAGCAGCUCCUACAAAUGGGGCAGCUUCACAAAUCACUGAUAAGACUGCAGACGUAUCCAUUGUUACGUCAAAGCCAGUGAACUUGGACAUGAAUGGUUUAACAAACAACUUUGCCAAAGACAAUGCAUCCUUAACUGCAUAAUCAAAUGCACGAGGUGAUCCAAUGGCAUCAUUGUUGUUGAUACUUUUAUAGUUGAGGUUCAAAGUUGAUGGGUGUAACUUUUUCUGGUGUCCACCAAAAACUUGUUUGUCGAUUUCGGUCGGUGGUUGACAUAAAACUUGAUGCCACUUUGGUAUUUUGGUUGCAAGAACAUUUCUCAAUGCAGGAGUGAGCACUUUGGUCAAACAUACACCAAUGACAACCCAUCUUCGUUCUUCGUUUGAUAUGGGGGUUGUACUGGAGGCGCUAGCCAUUACUGAUCU